rnacentral:rRNA from 1 species
UACGGAGGGUGCUAGCGUUGUUCGGAAUUACUGGGCGUAAAGCGCACGUAGGCGGCUUGGUAAGUUAGAGGUGAAAGCCUGGAGCUCAACUCCAGAAUUGCCUUUAAGACUGCCGAGCUAGCAGGUGAGAGAGGUGAGUGGAAUUCCGAGUGUAGAGGUGAAAUUCGUAGAUAUUCGGAAGAACACCAGUGGCGAAGGCGGCUCACUGGCUCAUACUGGACGCUGAGGUGCGAAAGCGUGGGGAGCAAACAGG